GAUGAACGCUGGCGGCGUGCCUAAUACAUGCAAGUCGAGCGAACAGACGAGGAGCUUGCUCCUCUGACGUUAGCGGCGGACGGGUGAGUAACACGUGGAUAACCUACCUAUAAGACUGGGAUAACUUCGGGAAACCGGAGCUAAUACCGGAUAAUAUAUUGAACCGCAUGGUUCAAUAGUGAAAGACGGUUUUGCUGUCACUUAUAUAUGGAUCCGCGCCGCAUUAGCUAGUUGGUAAGGUAACGGCUUACCAAGGCAACGAUGCGUAGCCGACCUGAGAGGGUGAUCGGCCACACUGGAACUGAGACACGGUCCAGACUCCUACGGGAGGCAGAAGUAGGGAAUCUUGCGCAAUGGGCGAAAGCCUGACGGAGCAACGCCGCGUGAGUGAUGAAGGUCUUCGGAUCGUAAAACUCUGUUAUUAGGGAAGAACAAAUGUGUAAGUAACUAUGCACGUCUUGACGGUACCUAAUCAGAAAGCCACGGCUAACUACGUG
rnacentral:rRNA from 1 species